CUAAGUUUGAUGGCGACCGGCGCACGGGUGAGUAACACGUAUCCAACCUGCCGAUGACUCGGGGAUAGCCUUUCGAAAGAAAGAUCAAUACCCGAUGGCAUAGUUCUUCCGCAUGGUGGAACUAUUAAAGAAUUUCGGUCAUCGAUGGGGAUGCGUUCCAUUAGGUUGUUGGCGGGGUAACGGCCCACCAAGCCUUCGAUGGAUAGGGGUUCUGAGAGGAAGGUCCCCCACAUUGGAACUGAGACACGGUCCAAACUCCUACGGGAGGCAGCAUG
rnacentral:rRNA from 1 species